UGAUGGCCCUGCGUACCUGUGAGAUUUGUGCUGCUCCGCUCCGAGCACAAGGAGCAGAUGCUGACAUUGGUGCGCCCUAUUCCGAUGUUAGUCUGAAUCCGGGUCUUGUGCCUUGGGAUCAACCCAGAGGUAGGUUCUGAGUGCCUGUUUCCUUGAAGGCAGAAAAAUGUGUGCCCCAGUAGCAUACAGUUUUAUCUCAGAUCCUCUCAAGGUCUUCCUAACCUGCUUGUACCUUGGAGGUCUUACACAGAUCUACCAUGAGUAGUUUGUUACUGGGAGAGCUGCCACAUUUCAGUGGGAAGGUCACCUCUGCCUCUCUUCAGCUGAGAGAACCCAGACCUUCUUUGGGCCAUGUCAUUCCCUGACCCGCCAGCACCCUGCAGGUCACUGAGGAAGAAGAAGGCCCCGACAUGCAGAGGAAGCUCUGCUCUGCUCACCCGUGUCUGAUCUUACUUGUCCCUGCAGGCCCUCGAGGUCAAUGGGCAGAGUGGAAUCCUGUCCCUGAGCCUGGGGUGUAAGUCCCCAGUCUUCAAUUCCUUGUUACUUGCUCAUACUUGGUGGUGAUAGCUCAGCAAUCUUUCAGCUCUCCACCAGCCAGCGUGACAGUGCUGGGUGAAGUGCAUGGUGUGCACUGAUUCUUGGGUGCCGCGUGCUCCCAGUGCUGCCUUUGUCUCUCUGACUCACAGGUCUCCCAGUAAGAAAGCCUCAAGGGGCUGAAUAUUGUUCCAUCAGGUCUCUGAGGGCUCUUUCACGUGGCCUGGAGAAAGUAUUUUGAAAGCUGCUGAAUGCCAGCCAGCAGCUCACCUGGCCCCUCUGCAACUUG